rnacentral:rRNA from 1 species
AUUGAACGCUGGCGGCAUGCUUUACACAUGCAAGUCGAACGGUAACAGGGUGCUUGCACCGCUGACGAGUGGCGAACGGGUGAGUAAUGCGUCGGAACGUGCCGAGUAGUGGGGGAUAACGCAGCGAAAGUUGUGCUAAUACCGCAUACGUACUGAGGUAGAAAGUGGGGGACCUUCGGGCCUCACGCUAUUCGAGCGGCCGACGUCUGAUUAGCUAGUAGGUGAGGUAAAGGCUCACCUAGGCGACGAUCAGUAGCGGGUCUGAGAGGAUGAUCCGCCACACGGGGACUGAGACACGGCCCAGACUCCUACGGGAGGCAGCAGUGGGGAAUUUUGGACAAUGGGCGAAAGCCUGAUCCAGCCAUGUCGCGUGUCUUAAGAAGGCCUUCGGGUUGUAAAGGACUUUUGUCAGGGAGGAAAUCCCUAGUGCUAAUAACACUGGGGGAUGACAGUACCUGAAGAAUGAGCACCGGCUAACUACGUGCCAGCAGCCGCCGUAA